ACCAUCCUUCUCUUGGGGUUGAGCUACUGUUUAAUGAAUGUGUAGUGAGAACACUACUGACACCACUAACAACACAAAUACAUCACUAGUGCGAAAACAUUAGCAAGGUGCAAUUUUUGCAAAC